AACGAACGCUGGCGGCAGGCUUAACACAUGCAAGUCGAGCGCCCCGCCAGGGGAGCGGCCGACGGGUGCGUAACGCGUGGGAACGUACCUUUUGGUUCGGAACAACUCCGGGAAACUGGAGCUAAUACCGGAUAAGCCCUAACGGGGAAAGAUUUAUCGCCGAAAGAUCGGCCCGCGUCUGAUUAGCUAGUUGGUGAGGUAACGGCUCACCAAGGCGACGAUCAGUAGCUGGUCUGAGAGGAUGAUCAGCCACACUGGGACUGAGACACGGCCCAGACUCCUACGGGAAGCAGCAGUGGGGAAUAUUGGACAAUGGGCGCAAGCCUGAUCCAGCCAUGCCGCGUGAGUGAUGAAGGCCUUAGGGUUGUAAAGCUCUUUUGUCCGGGAAGAUAAUGACGGUACCGGAAGAAUAAGCCCCGGCUAACUUCGUG
rnacentral:rRNA from 1 species